rnacentral:rRNA from 1 species
UGGGGAAUCUUGCGCAAUGGGCGAAAGCCUGACGCAGCGACGCCGCGUGAGGGAUGAAGGCUCUCGGGUUGUAAACCUCUUUCAGCGGGGACGAAGCGAAAGUGACGGUACCCGCAGAAGAAGCCCCGGCCAACUACGUGCCAGCAGCCGCGGUAAUACGUAGGGGGCGAGCGUUGUCCGGAUUUAUUGGGCGUAAAGGGCUCGUAGGUGGCUUGGCAAGUCGGACGUAAAAGUCCAGGGCUCAACCCUGGGAUGCGUUCGAUACUGUCAGGCUAGAGGCCGGUAGGGGGAUCUGGAAUUCCUGGUGUAGCGGUGAAAUGCGCAGAUAUCAGGAGGAACACCGGUGGCGAAGGCGGGAUCCUGGGCCGGACCUGACACUGAUGAGCGAAAGCUGGGGGAGCGAACAGGAUUAGAUACCCUGGUAGUCCCAGCCGUAAACGAUGGGUGCUAGGUGUGGGAGGCUAUCGACGUCUUCCGUGCCGCAGCUAACGCAUUAAGCACCCCGCCUGGGGA